rnacentral:rRNA from 1 species
UAGGGAAUCUUCCGCAAUGGACGCAAGUCUGACGGAGCAACGCCGCGUGAGUGAAGAAGGAUUUCGGUUCGUAAAACUCUGUUGUUAGAGAAGAACAGCGCAUAGAGUAACUGUUAUGCGUGUGACGGUAUCUAACCAGAAAGCCACGGCUAACUACGUGCCAGCAGCCGCGGUAAUACGUAGGUGGCAAGCGUUGUCCGGAUUUAUUGGGCGUAAAGCGAGCGCAGGCGGUCAAUUAAGUCUGAUGUGAAAGCCCCCGGCUCAACCGGGGAGGGUCAUUGGAAACUGGGUGACUUGGGGGCAGAAGAGGAGAGUGGAAUUCCAUGUGUAGCGGUGAAAUGCGUAGAUAUAUGGAGGAACAACAGUGGCGAAGGCGACUUUCUGGGCUGUAACUGACGCAGAGGCUCGAAAGCGUGGGUAGCAAACAGG